AUGCUCCCCUGUUUCCAAAGAUUGUACAUACUGUAGCUUGUUUGUGACCUCAUCAAACUCACCACAAUGUCCUGCCAUGAGUCUUUGUAGAAAAUCUGACUGUUGACGUUCCAGUAGGCGCACAGACACUCCAGACGGCCGAGCUAACAGGUGAUCUUUGCUGCUUCGUUGAGGAUGCAGCACUUCCAGUUCUCAUCAGUGGUCUAAGGGAAGACAAAGAUGCAAGAGCAGGAUGAGAAGACGUCUUCAGACCAAGAACACACACGGGCAUGUCUUACCUGCAGGCUGAGUUCCGACAGAGUGACUCCCAUGGACAGGGGGCGCUGUGGGUCAGAAACCUAAAAAUCCACAAACAUCUCCAGGUUCUUGAUCACCUGGGUGGCCAGUUUCUCCAUGAACGUGUCCUUCUUCUCCUCCUGAGGCUUUUCUGGAAGCAGCAAACAGAAGACUCCUCAGAUCUAAACCCGGA